UACGUAGGGUGCGAGCGUUGUCCGGAAUUAUUGGGCGUAAAGAGCUCGUAGGCGGUUUGUCGCGUCGACUGUGAAAACCCGAGGCUUAACCUCGGGCCUGCAGUCGAUACGGGCAGACUAGAGUUCGGUAGGGGAGACUGGAAUUCCUGGUGUAGCGGUGAAAUGCGCAGAUAUCAGGAGGAAUACCGGUGGCGAAAGCGACUCUCUGGACGGCAACUGACGCUGAGGCACGAAAGCGUGGGGAGCAAACAGG
rnacentral:rRNA from 1 species